UACAUUGGUUACUAAAAUUGCAUGCGGC
rnacentral:sRNA from 1 species